UAGGUUCCGAAGAAAGGGAGCUACCAGAAACUCAGCAAGCAGGCAUCCCAGACACGUGUCAGCCUGAGUCGUUAAAUGAUGUCAAAGUUCAUUCUGCAGAGAGAAUGUCUUCCAACCACAAGAACACAUCUCUUGAAAACCCUGUACAAGACCAGAGUUGGAUGGUCUUGAGCCAUAGUGAGGUUGGUGAUCCACCUGCAGAAACCAGGGACUCGGGAGCUGGGUCUCCGGGUAGAACUGUGGAGCCAUUCUUGAGUCUCAGUUUGGACAAGGGCCCCCAGUCCCAGGUUCUGGAAAGAAAAAAGCCUCUAGAUUCUUUGGCACUAGGGGAAGUUGCUGCUUUGAGCAGCCAA
rnacentral:lncRNA from 1 species